AACCAAUCCUCCAAAGAAAGUGUU
rnacentral:siRNA from 1 species